UACGUAGGGGGCUAGCGUUGUCCGGAUUUAUUGGGCGUAAAGAGCGUGUAGGCGGCUUGGUAGGUCUUGCGUCAAAACCUGAGGCUCAACCUCAGUUCGCGUGGGAAACCACCUAGCUAGAGUCCGGAAGAGGAGAACGGAAUUCCCAGUGUAGCGGUGAAAUGCGCAGAUAUUGGGAAGAACACCAGUGGCGAAGGCGGUUCUCUGGGACGGUACUGACGCUGAGACGCGAAAGCGUGGGGAGCGAACAGG
rnacentral:rRNA from 1 species